rnacentral:rRNA from 1 species
CCUACGGGAGGCAGCAGUGAGGAAUAUUGGUCAAUGGCCGGAAGGCUGAACCAGCCAAGCCGCGUGAAGGACGAAGGUGCCAAGCAUUGUAAACUUCUUUUGUCAAGGGACAAAAUCAGGCUCGAGAGCCUGACCGAGGGUACUUGAAGAAAAAGCAUCGGCUAACUCCGUGCCAGCAGCCGCGGUAAUACGGAGGAUGCGAGCGUUAUCCGGAUUUAUUGGGUUUAAAGGGUGCGUAGGCGGACUGUUAAGUCAGCGGUAAAAGCCCGGGGCUCAACCCCGGCGAGCCGUUGAAACUGGCGGUCUUGAGAUGUCGAGAGGUAUGCGGAAUGCGAAGUGGAGCGGUGAAAUGCUUAGAUAGUGCGCAGAACUCCGAUUGCGAAGGCAGCAUACCGGCGGCGAUCUGACGCUGAGGCACGAAAGCGUGGGUAUCGAACAGGAUUAGAUACCCGGGUAGUC